GAUACGCCGGGAUACGCGAACUUUGCAGUAUCCCCCGAAUUUCGAUUUUAAAAAAGGAAAAGAAAACACAGGGAUACGCUGGGACACGUGUGGGAUACGUUUGGGACACGGCCUGGCCCAAAACAGCCUCGGCCCAACCCAGUAUACCUAACCUAUUUGCAGGAACUCCCGCACGCUCUCGUCUCAAGGACGAGGUGCUCCCUCCCAGCCUCCCCGCGCCGCCAGCCUCCUGGAUCGAAGCCGCCUCCGCCUUGACUCGUCGCCGCCGCCGCCGGCGACGCCUGGAUUCGACCGGCGAUAGCUGGUGCUACCCCCAGCCUCGCAGAUGCAGCUUGCAAUGACAACAUGACAUGGGGGGAUGAGGACCAAUCAAUCAUCACUUGAUAAAAGAGACACCAAAUGGGGCAUUAUCCUCUAUUAUGAUCUCUUUCUUAUUAAUUUUCUGUCUUAAUUGUAUAUUAUAUGGCAUAUUUUUAUUUUAUUUUAUAUAUACUCGCCGUA